rnacentral:rRNA from 1 species
UACGGAAGGCAGCAGUGGGGAAUAUUGCACAAUGGGCGCAAGCCUGAUGCAGCCAUGCCGCGUGUAUGAAAAAGGCCUUCGGGUUGUAAAGUACUUUCAGUCGUGAGGAAGGUGUUAAGGUUAAUAACCUUAGCAAUUGACGUUAGCGACAGAAGAAGCACCGGCUAACUCCGUGCCAGCAGCCGCGGUAAUACGGAGGGUGCGAGCGUUAAUCGGAAUUACUGGGCGUAAAGGGCACGCAGGCGGUUAAUUAAGUUGGAUGUGAAAUCCCCGGGCUUAACCUGGGAAUGGCAUUCAAGACUGGUUAGCUAGAGUCUUGUAGAGGGGGUAGAAUUCCAUGUGUAGCGGUGAAAUGCGUAGAGAUGUGGAGGAAUACCGGUGGCGAAGGCGGCCCCUGGACAAGACUGACGCUCAUGUGCGAAAGCGUGGGGAGCGAAACAGGGAUUAGAUACC